ACACUCCUACGUGAGGCAGCAGUGGGGAAUAUUGGACAAUGGGCGCAAGCCUGAUCCAGCCAUGCCGCGUGAGUGAUGAAGGCCCUAGGGUUGUAAAGCUCUUUCACCGGUGAAGAUAAUGACGGUAACCGGAGAAGAAGCCCCGGCUAACUUCGUGCCAGCAGCCGCGGUAAUACGAAGGGGGCUAGCGUUGUUCGGAUUUACUGGGCGUAAAGCGCACGUAGGCGGACUAUUAAGUCAGGGGUGAAAUCCCGGGGCUCAACCCCGGAACUGCCUUUGAUACUGGUAGUCUUGAGUUCGAGAGAGGUGAGUGGAAUUCCGAGUGUAGAGGUGAAAUUCGUAGAUAUUCGGAGGAACACCAGUGGCGAAGGCGGCUCACUGGCUCGAUACUGACGCUGAGGUGCGAAAGCGUGGGGAGCAAACAGGAUUAGAUACCCGAGUAGUCCC
rnacentral:rRNA from 1 species